rnacentral:rRNA from 1 species
CACGUAGGGUGCGAGCGUUGUCCGGAAUUACUGGGCGUAAAGGGCUCGUAGGUGGCCAACUAAGUCGGACGUGAAAUCCCUCAGCUUAACUGGGGAACUGCGUCCGAUACUGGAUGGCUUGAGUUUGGGAGAGGGAUGCGGAAUUCCAGGUGUAGCGGUGAAAUGCGUAGAUAUCUGGAGGAACACCGGUGGCGAAGGCGGCAUCCUGGACCAACACUGACACUGAGGAGCGAAAGCCAGGGGAGCAAACGGG